rnacentral:lncRNA from 1 species
CUGUCGUGGGUGUUGGGGGUCGGUGCGCUCAACGUUGUCGUCAACGCCACAUCAACCCUUGGCCAUUGGGCGUGGUGCCAGUCCACGAAUGGCACCUGUGACCUUGUGGACCUUCGGUGUGGUCAGACCUAUGCUGUUCAGGCCGUUGCUGUUGGGGAGAGCUGCAGUAGUACCGCCAGCCUGGAGCAUAACAUCCUUACAGCACCCUGUGCUCCUACUGCAGUCACCACCCUGUACAACUGCACCGCCAACGUGGUCAUGGUCAGCUGGAAGAACAACCCGGGAGGUGGGUCCGUUAUGGCCCAGAUAGAAAGCGACAGGCACAGGGGCUCAUGCGUCGCGACCGGAAACGGCUGCACCGUCCGCAGCCUGCAGUGUGGAAACAGGUACAACGUGAGUGUCCAAGCUCUGGCGAACCACUGCAACAGCAGCCAGAGCUACGGACAGAGUGUGGAGACAGAGCCUUGCUCCGCUGAGAAUGUCUCUGUCUCUCUGGUGUGUCGCAACAACACGGCUCUGGUGGCAUGGACGGCUGGUGCUGGCACAGUAGUGUAUGAGGUCAAUGCCCAGGGGUGGGACGGGGACAUAGUGCACUGCCAGUCGCAGGAGACAGCCUGCACCCUGCCACAGCUGCACUGCGGGAAGACAUACAACAUCAGCGUCACCCCAAACUCCAUGAUCUGCCAAGGAGUGCAAAACUGGGUUUACAACUACACCGCAGGUACCCAAAGCAUGACCCCGAUGUAAUGAAUGGCCUCCAUUGCUGAAGGUUCAGUAUGUCAUUAUUACAGUU